rnacentral:rRNA from 1 species
AUACGGAGGAUGCAAGCGUUAUCCGGAUUUAUUGGGUUUAAAGGGUGCGUAGGCGGAUGAUUAAGCGUGAGGUGAAAUGCCACUGCUCAACAGUGGAACUGCCUCGCGAACUGGUUGUCUUGAAUGCUCCUGCCGUGGGAGGAAUGUGUGGUGUAGCGGUGAAAUGCAUAGAGAUCACACAGAACACCGAUUGCGAAGGCAUCUCACGAAGGGGUGAUUGACGCUGAGGCACGAAAGCGUGGGGAUCAAACAGGAUUAGAUUCCCUGGUAGUCCACGCAGUAAACGAUGAUAACUAACCGCUGGGUCGUAGUGAUUCAGUGGCCAAGCGAAAGCGAUAAGUUAUCCACCUGGGGAGUACGACCGCAAGGUUGAAACUCAAAGGAAUUGACGGGG